AUUGAACGCUGGCGGAAUGCUUUACACAUGCAAGUCGAACGGCAGCACGGACUUCGGUCUGGUGGCGAGUGGCGAACGGGUGAGUAAUGUAUCGGAACGUGCCCAGUCGUGGGGGAUAACGUAGUGAAAAUUACGCUAAUACCGCAUACGAUCUAUGGAUGAAAGCGGGGGAUCGCAAGACCUCGCGCGAUUGGAGCGGCCGAUAUCAGAUUAGGUAGUUGGUGGGGUAAAGGCCCACCAAGCCAACGAUCUGUAGCUGGUCUGAGAGGACGACCAGCCAAGCUGGAACUGAGACACGGUCCAGACUCCUACGGGUGGCAGCAGUGGGGAAUUUUGGACAAUGGGCGAAAGCCUGAUCCAGCCAUUCCGCGUGCAGGAUGAAGGCCCUCGGGUUGUAAACUGCUUUUGUACAGAACGAAAAGGUUUCUACUAAUACUAGGAGUUCAUGACGGUACUGUAAGAAUAAGCACCGGCUAACUACGUGCCAGCAGCCGCCGUAA
rnacentral:rRNA from 1 species